CCUACGGGGGGCAGCAGUGGGGAAUAUUGGACAAUGGGGCAACCCUGAUCCAGCCAUGCCGCGUGUGUGAAGAAGGCCCUCGGGUUGUAAAGCACUUUCAGUGAGGAAGAACGCCUGGUGGUUAAUACCCAUCAGGAAAGACAUCACUCACAGAAGAAGCACCGGCUAACUCCGUGCCAGCAGCCGCGGUAAUACGGAGGGUGCGAGCGUUAAUCGGAAUUACUGGGCGUAAAGCGCGCGUAGGUGGCUUGAUAAGCCGGUUGUGAAAGCCCCGGGCUCAACCUGGGAACGGCAUCCGGAACUGUCAAGCUAGAGUGCAGGAGAGGAAGGUAGAAUUCCCGGUGUAGCGGUGAAAUGCGUAGAGAUCGGGAGGAAUACCAGUGGCGAAGGCGGCCUUCUGGACUGACACUGACACUGAGGUGCGAAAGCGUGGGUAGCAAACAGGAUUAGAUACCCCGGUAGUC
rnacentral:rRNA from 1 species